AUUCCAUGUCAGGAAGGAAGGAAGAAAGAAAGAAAAAGAGAAAGAAGGGAGGGAGGAAGGAGACAGGGAAAGAAAAAGAAAGAAAGAAAGAAAGAAAGAAAGAAAGAAAGAAAGAAAGAAAGAAAGAAAGAAAGAAAGAAAGAAAGAAAGAAAGAAAGAAAGAAAGAAAGAAAGAAAGAAAGAAAGAAAGAAAGAAAGGAAGGAAGGAAGGAAGGAAGGAAGGAAGGAAGGAAGGAAGGAAGGAAGGAAGGAAGGAAGGAAGGAAGGAAGAAAGAUAGAAAGAAAGAAAGAAAGAAAGAAAGAAAGAAGAAAGAAAGAAAGACAGAAAGAAGAAGAAGAAAGAAGAAGAAGAAGAGGAAGGAAGGAAGGAAGGAGGAGAUCACCCGGCAUGAUACCUACCUAUCCAUGACUCCAUCAUGUACCAUCAUUGCAGCAAGUCAGGAAAUCCAUCUGGGCUGUUCCCAGAAAUUGACAGCUGUAAGUGGAUAUGAUUUCUCUGUAAUUUGGCAGAAAUCUUUCAUUAUGGGUAGAUUGUUUGCAAUGCCAUUUGUUCUAAUCAAUUCUGAUCUUUUGUUUAGCAUGUCAAAGAUAAUGCUAUUUGGCUGGCCUCCAGGGAAUAAGAAGAAGAGGAAGUGGUUUGGAUUGUUUUGUUUUUGGAGUUGUUGGUUUAGGGUUUUGUUUUAUUUUUGUUCUUCAUCUAUAUCUUUUCUACUCAUUAGAAACAACUUGAAUUUUCUGUCUCAAAAGAGAAUUUAAAAAAUGAAUGAACCUCCAUGAACUAAAAUACUUCCCUAAUGG
rnacentral:lncRNA from 1 species